GAUGAACGCUGGCGGCGUGCCUAAUACAUGCAAGUCGAGCGAACAGAUGAGGAGCUUGCUCCUCUGACGUUAGCGGCGGACGGGUGAGUAACACGUGGAUAACCUAUCUAUAAGACUGGGAUAACUUCGGGAAACCGGAGCUAAUACCGGAUAAUAUAUUGAACCGCAUGGUUCAAUAGUGAAAGACGGUUUUGCUGUCACUUAUAGAUGGAUCCGCGCCGCAUUAGCUAGUUGGUAAGGUAACGGCUUACCAAGGCAACGAUGCGUAGCCGACCUGAGAGGGUGAUCGGCCACACUGGAACUGAGACACGGUCCAGACUCCUACGGGAGGCAGCAGUAGGGAAUCUUCCGCAAUGGGCGAAAGCCUGACGGAGCAACGCCGCGUGAGUGAUGAAGGUCUUCGGAUCGUAAAACUCUGUUAUUAGGGAAGAACAAAUGUGUAAGUAACUAUGCACGUCUUGACGGUACCUAAUCAGAAAGCCACGGCUAACUACGUG
rnacentral:rRNA from 1 species